AAAUUGAAGAGUUUGAUCAUGGCUCAGAUUGAACGCUGGCGGCAGGCCUAACACAUGCAAGUCGAACGGUAACAGGAAGCAGCUUGCUGCUUUGCUGACGAGUGGCGGACGGGUGAGUAAUGUCUGGGAAACUGCCUGAUGGAGGGGGAUAACUACUGGAAACGGUAGCUAAUACCGCAUAACGUCGCAAGACCAAAGAGGGGGACCUUCGGGCCUCUUGCCAUCGGAUGUGCCCAGAUGGGAUUAGCUUGUUGGUGGGGUAAAGGCUCACCAAGGCGACGAUCCCUAGCUGGUCUGAGAGGAUGACCAGCCACACUGGAACUGAGACACGGUCCAGACUCCUACGGGAGGCAGCAGUGGGGAAUAUUGCACAAUGGGCGCAAGCCUGAUGCAGCCAUGC
rnacentral:rRNA from 1 species